AGUGAUGUAGCUCAGUGGUAGAGCAUUUACCCAGCAUGCAUCAAGUCCUGGGUUCAAUCCCCAGCACCAGUU
rnacentral:tRNA from 2 species